CACCUGCUUUCCUUAUAAGGAGAACAAGGAAGUAAAUCAUGUUGAAGUUGCUUUUAAACACAGCUUUCCUUCUUUACCUGUCCAGGUAGCCUGUUUUCAUUUCAGUCUUAAUGAAAACUUUUAAAUUUACAUCUCAAGGUUCUUUCCAAAGCAGUCGAGAACUGAAACGAAUGGGGAUCGAACUGCUUUGCCUGUUCUUUCUAUUUCUAGGAAGGAAUGAUCACGUACAAGGUGGCUGUGCCAUGGGAGGUGCAGAAACCUGUGAAGACUGUUUGCUCAUUGGACCUCAGUGUGCCUGGUGUUCUCAGGAGAAUUUUACCCAUCCAUCUGGAGUUGGAGAAAGGUGUGAUACCCCAGCAACUCUCUUAGCUAAAGGAUGUCAACUCACUUUCAUCGAAAACCCUGUCUCCCAAGUAGAAAUACAUACAAAUAAGCCUCUCAGUGUAGGCAGACAGAAAAAUAGUUCUGACAUUGUACAGAUUGCGCCUCAAAAGUUGACUCUUAAAUUGAGACCAGGCAGUGAACAGACUCUCCAAGUGCAAGUCCGCCAGACAGAGGAUUACCCAGUGGACUUGUAUUACCUCAUGGACCUCUCGGCCUCCAUGGAUGAUGACCUCAACACCAUUAAAGAGCUGGGCUCUCUGCUUUCCAAGGAGAUGUCUAAAUUAACCAGCAACUUUAGACUGGGCUUCGGCUCUUUUGUGGAAAAACCCGUCUCCCCUUUUGUGAAAACAACACCAGAAGAAAUCGCCAACCCUUGCAGUAGUAUUCCGUACUUCUGCUUACCUACAUUUGGAUUCAAGCACAUUUUGCCAUUGACGAAUGAUGCUGAAAGAUUCAAUGAAAUUGUGAAGAAUCAGAAAAUUUCUGCUAAUAUUGACACACCAGAAGGUGGAUUUGAUGCAAUUAUGCAAGCUGCUGUGUGUAAGGAAAAGAUUGGCUGGCGGAAUGACUCCCUCCAUCUCCUGGUCUUUGUGAGUGAUGCCGAUUCUCAUUUUGGAAUGGACAGCAAACUGGCAGGCAUCGUCAUUCCUAACGAUGGGCUCUGUCACUUGGACAACAAGAAUGAAUACUCCAUGUCAACUGUCUUGGAAUAUCCAACAAUUGGACAACUCAUUGAUAAACUGGUGCAAAAUAAUGUGCUAUUAAUCUUUGCUGUAACCCAAGAACAAGUUCAUUUAUAUGAGAAUUAUGCAAAACUCAUUCCUGGAGCCACAGUUGGGCUACUUCAAAAGGACUCCGGAAACAUUCUCCAGCUGAUCAUCUCGGCUUAUGAAGAACUGAGGUCUGAGGUGGAACUGGAAGUAUUAGGAGACACAGAAGGACUCAACCUAUCUUUCACAGCCAUCUGUAACAAUGGGGCCCUCUUCCCACACCAAAAGAAAUGCUCUCACAUGAAGGUGGGAAACACAGCUACAUUUAACGUGACUGUGAGUAUACCAAACUGUGAGAGAAGAAACAGGCACAUUAUCAUAAAGCCUGUGGGGCUGGGGGACGCCCUUGAAAUACUUGUCAGUCCGGAAUGCAAAUGUGACUGUCAGAAAGAAGUGGAGGUGAACAGCUCCAAAUGCCACAAUGGAAACGGUUCCUUCCAGUGUGGGGUGUGCGCCUGCAACCCUGGCCACAUGGGUCCUCACUGUGAGUGUGGGGAGGACACACUGAGCACGGAGUCCUGCAAAGAGGCCCCGGAUCACCCCUCCUGCAGUGGAAGAGGUGACUGCUUCUGUGGGCAGUGCAUCUGCCACCUGUCUCCCUAUGGAAACAUUUAUGGGCCCUUCUGCCAGUGUGACAACUUCUCCUGCGUGAGGCACAAAGGAUUGCUCUGUGGAGAUAACGGCGUGUGUGACUGUGGCGAAUGCGUGUGCAGACCCGGCUGGGCGGGUGAGUACUGUAACUGCACCACCAGCACGGAGUCUUGCCUCUCGGAGGACGGGGUGCCCUGCAGUGGGCGAGGAGACUGCGUCUGUGGCAAAUGUGUUUGCACGAACCCCGGAGCCUCUGGACCGACCUGCGAGCGUUGUCCCACCUGUGGCGAUCCCUGUAACUCUAAACGGAGCUGCAUUGAAUGCUACCUGUCUGCAGAUGGCCAGGCCGGAGAAGAAUGUGUUGACAAAUGCAAACUAGCCGGUGCGACCAUCAGUGAAGCAGAAGAUUUUUCAAAGGAUGGUUCUGUUCCCUGUUCUCUGCAAGGAGAAAAUGAAUGUCUUAUUACAUUCCUAAUAACUACAGAUAAUGAAGGGAAAAGCAUCAUUCACAGCAUCACUGAGAAAGACUGUCCAAGGCCCCCAAACAUUCCCAUGAUUAUGUUAGGGGUUUCACUGGCUAUUCUUCUCAUUGGGGUCGUCCUACUUUGCAUUUGGAAGCUGCUGGUAUCAUUUCAUGAUCGUAAAGAAGUUGCCAAAUUUGAAGCAGAACGGUCUAAGGCCAAGUGGCAAACGGGAACCAAUCCAUUAUACAGAGGCUCCACCAGUACCUUUAAAAAUGUAACUUAUAAACACAGGGAAAAACAAAAGAUGGACCUUUCCACAGAUGGAUAGAACUACUUCAUGCAUGAAAAAAGUCUGCUUCACUGAUAUGAAAUGUUAAUGCACUAUUUAAUUUUUCUUUUUUUUUGUUGCUUCAAAACGAGGUUGGUUUAAGAUAAUAAUAGGUCAUUUGGAGAUCAGUCAUUGUCUGUAUGAAGGUUAGAGACUGUGUUGGCAGGUUCAAAAUAAUCAGGAAGAGAAAUAUCCUUAGCGAAGGGGUGACUUUGGGGAUCAUUGAGGAAUACUAACACUGGUGCAUUAAUGUCUCAAAAAAUCAUCAAAAUGACACAGGGGGGCCUUAUUUGCAUUUGAAAAAUGUUUGAAAUUAGAAUCUCAUUUGUUUCAGGAAUAUAGCUACCUGAAGUCUUUGUGUCAGCAAAGUCACCAAGUCCAUAUGCUCAUAUUAAAUAAUCGCACUUGUGAAUUAAUUCUAAACUUUUAGUAAGUAUGCCCUUUCCUAAAGGUGGAUUCUUCUAAAAAUCUAUGAAAAAUGAGAUGCUAACUUUUACUUCAAUAGAGAGGAUGCAAUUCUUCUAAUAUCCCAAAUGUAAUAAGUGUUAAUAAUUUCUGUGGAUUUGCAUGUAUCCAAAAGUCAGGUACACACACAAAUAAAUAUUUUAGAAGAAGAAGUAAUUUAUAAGUUAGAAAGUAAAAAAAAAAAAAUCAGUAAAAACAAAAUAGUUUAUUAAUUAGAUUAUUUCUAAUUACCUGAAGAAUAAAUUUCUACACUCAGUUUCCCUUCUGAUCCUGAGUUUUCAAACCACUACUUGUCCCAUAUUUCUCAAUCCAUUUUUACUUAGUUUUAUAGUCAUCUAUACCCUGGAGAUGUCAUAUGAAAGUUUUAAUUUCUUAUUCAAAUUUACUUUAAAUGGUUAGAUAAUCAAAAGGAGCUCCAAUAAUGCAAAAUGAACAUGGAAGAGAAUAACACUUUAAAUGGCUUUAAAGAAAACACAUCAAGAGUACAGUCUCUCAUGACUAACAGGCUUUCUAUCCAUAUUCGUUUCCAUUUAUACAACCUAACUUGCACAUUUCAGCUGCACAUGGUGACUAUGCAUCUUGUACUUACUUUAAAGUAUGAUUUUACUUGAAAACUCCAUUUGGAUAAUUAGGGAUCCAUAGGUUGAUUGAGGAUAUGGACUCCAUAGAAUAUUAUUUCCUAUUAGUACUGCUUCACAGAGCACUGUCAUCUUAUUUGAUAAGGAAGCUAAGCCUCAGAGAGUGAGUAGAAAAAUUGGUCCAGAAUCUAGAUCUUCCAGCUCCAAGGUAUUUCUUCUUUCCACAGUAUGAGGCUAACUCUUUUUCCAUGAAAUGAUGGAAAUAUUUGGUUAGUUAAGCAAUAACUAUCAUUUGUUUGAAAAUGUCCUGAGAUGAAAAUAGCAUUCAAACUACUGGAGCAGAGGUGAGGUCUUGUAUUUUGGUGCAGUGUUUAUUAUCUUUGAGUAAACUGACUGUGAAAUCUUUUACUAAAUGAAUAGUUCAUUAUGAAUGGAAGUUUCAUUAUGAAUGGAAGUUUCAGAUGUUCCACUGAAUUGACAAAGAUAAUCUAUGAUGUUUCCUCAAUUCUACCAUAUAGAUCUGUACACAUCUGAUCACUUGGAGUCUUAUUUCUUUUCUAGUUUCUGAAUAACUCAGGUAAAUCAGACACUUGAGGAAUACACAGCUACACUAAAAGAAUUACUAAGCAAUCACCUUGGAUACCUGAAGGGCAGAUGUACCCGCCGUGUUCCUGACUGAAGCCCGGGGUCUGGGGAAAAUCUACAGCAACAAAGAUGUUGCAACAGUGAUGAUGCAACAAUGAUCCCUGUGUGACCUACUCUGACUACCUGCUUGUCUCAUUCUGGGGCCAAGGGAAAGAAUGGAAAGAGGCAGCUACCAAAGGCAGCAGACAGCAAGGAACUGGCUGCAGUUUGCUGCACAGUUACAAUACCCACAUCACGAGGUUUUUUGUUUUUGUUUUUUUUUUAAAGAGGCCUGGACAUUAUCCUACAUUUUGUAAAAUCAGUAUUAGUGUUAUGGGCCGAAUUGUGGUCCCUAUUCUAAAACUUGUAUAUGGAAGUCCUAAAUCUCAGUACCUCAGAAUAUGAUUGCCUUAGGAGAAAAGGUCUUUUAAAAGGCAAUUAAGUUAAAAUGAGGUCAUUAGGUUGGGUCCUGGUCCAACAUGAUUGGUGUCUUUAUAAGAAGAAGAGAUUAGGACACAAAUGUGCACAAAGGGACAACCAUGUAAUGACACAGGGAGAGUAAGGCCAUCUACAAACCAAAGAGAAAGGCCUUGGAAGCAAUAACCCUGCCAACACCUUAAUCUGGGCCUUCUGGCCUCCAGAAUUGUGAGAAAAUGCAUUUCUGUUGUGUGAGCCCUCCACUCUGUGAUACUUUGCUAUGGCAGCCCGAGCAAACCAAUACGGGUACAUAGUGCUACUUUUCUGGGCAUCCAUUUGGUAGAUUCCAUGGUGCCAUGCUCCUUUUCUCAAAACUAAGCAGAGAGAAUCCAGGGCUUACACAAGAAGCCAGCCUAGAAGAAGGCCUUUUCUUAGAAAAUCUCUUUCCUUAAAAAAGGGUAGGGAACAUCAAGUCAAGAGCACUCAUACUCCAGGAGCGCCUGGGUGGCUCAGUGAGUUAAAGCCCACUUGGCUUUAACUUGGCUUUAAAGCCCCUUUGGCUCUGGUCAUGAUCCCAGGGUCCUGGGAUUGAGCCCCACAUUGUGGGGGGAGCUCUGCUCAGCAGGGAGCCUGCUUCUUCCCUCCCUCUCUUCCUGCCUCUCUGCCUACUUGUGAUCUCUUGUCUAUCAAAUAAAUAAAUAAAAUCAUAAAAAAAAAGAGUACUUAUACUCCAAAACAAAAUCUGUGUUGUUGACAAAAGCUGGGGAUAUCUGGAAAUCCAGAAACUGUUCCCAUUUUGAAUAGCCCUGAGAAAAUUACUUUUCACCUUAGUUUUUCCAUCUGCAACAUGUUGGCCCUGCCUGUAUCUUCCAGCAUCUAUACCAUAGUAGAUGCUCACUAAAUUCAUUCAGGCAGUAUUAUUGAGUGCUUAUUAUUAUGGAUACAGAAAUGAACAAAAUAAGCAGUUCCUGCACUUUUUGGUAGGGGAAAGUAGAGGACAGUAAACAAAUGAAUAUCCAAUAUCGGUAUGCACAUCCCAGAUCCACUUGUCCCCACCUAUCCCCCAGGUUUAAGCUGAUAGUCACCCCAGCACCAACUUAUACAGUUCCCUUAAUAGUAAAGCCCCAUCUUUCCCCUAAUUCCCCAAGUAUUGGGGAACCACAGCAACUCCUGUGCCCAAGUCCAGAGUGCCUGCUGGAUCUAGGUAAUAAAACAGAAGUUUUAAAAGAAGAAUGCAAGGUUAAGUCACUCUGAACAUUAAGACACUGAGCCUAGGAAAGGAGAGGAAAGAAACAAAAAGUUUUCUUGGGUGGGCUUGGGGGAAAGCCAGGAAAGACUAGAAAAUUUGGGAAGUGGGAAGAAAAAGUCUUUGGGGUAGCAUUUAUGUAUGGGUGAUGUUGAAAAUAAGAUAUAUGGGAAUGGGGGUGAUCAGCUGUUCAUUUUGAAAAUACUCAUUUUUGUGAGCCUGCUGUUCCCCUGACUAAGGCAGCCUGUGGGGUUUCCCAGCAGAAGACCCAGCUCCAGGGGGGUUUUGGCUGAGAGUCCACAUGUUUUAAUCUGGUUCAUGUCUCCCCUUUAAGACUCUUCAACACAGAACACAUCAUGCCCUGAAACACCCUGUGAAACCCCCCAAAUGGCAAAUGGCAACCCCCAAAGCAACCCAGGGUCUUCAGAUUUGUUCUCUCCUUCACCUCUUUACACACAGUCCUGUAGGUACUUCCAGUACCAGAGAAAGCUCUCCUACCAAUCACAUUCUUUAACCAUAGGAGAAAGCUGACCUAUCAAAAGAGUAAAUUUAUUUAAAUGUUAGUGACUCAUAACAAUUUUUGUCAUCUUCGUUUCAUGGAAAUCUAAAUGAGAAAAAAAAAAAAACAAAACUCCUUAUUCAGAGGGAAUGAAAAACAGGGAUUGAAUGAAAUGUGAUAAAUAGAAAUUUUCCCUUCUAUUAAAUUUUAUUUUGUUGCAGCAGACUCAAGUCAGCACAACUGAGAAGCAAGGAACCUUAAGUUCAGGAUUUCACAGUGGCUCUUUUAAAGGUCAGUUGGGCUUGGCUACUCUCGUAAUAGAUGAGCGAAGUUCUGGAUGAGGCUCCUGCAGACAGGGGGUGGGGCAGCAGCCACCUAGGCCCACAGCUUGGGUCAAGGCAUUAAUUCCUUCGGUUCGUGGACCACCACAGGGUUAAAUGCGUGUGUUAAAUCUCCCUGUGCCUUGGAGAUAUCCAAGUGUGAAUCAAAACUUCAUCCUCUGUUCUCUCCCAUUUGGCUGCACAACCAGCAAAGAGAGAGCAACAGGGGAUGUAUGCCAGGAGUUUUUGUCCUAUAACCUGUCCCAGAGGUAGGCCCUGGGAGAGGCACUGGGCACGGGAGGGCACAGAUUGGGCCCAAAGCUGCUCUUCCGUGUCAUUAACAAAUCUCAUGGAGAGUCUAGUUCAGUUUGAAAUUUCAGUCUGACCUUCACAAUCUCUAGGUGUGUGUUUUAUGAGGAAAUUUACUGCUUAAAUUGUUUUGUUUUUUCAGCUUAAAAUGUAUUUACAUUCACAGUCCUUGCAAAACAGCUAAUCCUGCUUCAGGUCAACAUCUAAAGAUGAUACAUCAUGAAACUCUAUUGUUUGUCAAUAACUGGGGAGAAAGUCACUAGGUCAAUUUUUUCAUCCUGCGUAGGCUUUGCUAUACCUACUGUAUGUGUGUGUGCGUGCGUGCGCGCACGUGUGUGUGUCUUAUUUUUAAAAACUACCUAUUAAACAAUUUUUAUCUGUUUGUAUAUCUUGCUAUAUAUAGAUAUAUAUACACCUAUAUGUAUGAACAUACAUAAAUGCAAACACACAUAUUUCUUAUUUUAAUAGGUAGAUCUUCUUAGAUUUAUUUGAAUCUAUUACUUAUUAUUUAUUUAUAUCUAUUACUACUUAAUAAAUGUAUCUAUUGUUUCUUAUUUUAACAGAUGUGUCUUACUAUCAUUAAAUAGCUUGCAUUGUUAAUAAAAAUUGAUAACACAUACCGUUCCGAGUGCUUUAUAUAUGCUAACUUAUUCAGAUGGUAUGGUAUUAUUAGUACCUCCCAUUUUACCUUAUGGUAUGGUAUUAUUAGUACCUCCCAUCAUUUAGAUGAGGAAAUUGAGGCACAGAGAUCAUAAUAGUAUAAACACUGCAUUGGGAUCAUAAAAAUUAAAAUAAGUAGACUAGCUGUUAUGUGUAUUUUGCAUAGUUUCAGUGUAUUAAAUGUCUAUUUCACUGAUUUCAAGAAAUGUGUCAGAUUUUAGACACUUUUUUACUAAGAAGAUGGAAUUGGAGAAGAAAAAUAGAGAAGAUUAAAAUCUUUCUCAGCACACAAAGCUACUAUUUAAUAUCCUACUCUUAGAUUUAGGCAGUAACAUGAUGUGAAUAUAUGUGUCUAACAUCACCUGCUGAGAAGUUCACAGGGAAGAGCUAAUAGUCUGAUGACACCCCUGUCCUUAACCUGGUUCUAUGUUGUGUCAUUAUUGCAUAUAUUGCCCAUAUUUCCUAGGGUUCUUGUGAGAAUUAAAUGGAACAGCAUAUUAAAGAAUUUGACAUAUUUGUUUAAUAAAUGUUAUGUGAAUGGUA